UACGUAGGGGGCUAGCGUUGUCCGGAUUUAUUGGGCGUAAAGAGCGUGUAGGCGGCCAGGUAGGUCUGCUGUGAAAACUCGAGGCUCAACCUCGAGACGUCGGCGGAAACCAUCUGGCUAGAGUCCGGAAGAGGAGAGUGGAAUUCCUGGUGUAGCGGUGAAAUGCGCAGAUAUCAGGAAGAACACCGGUGGCGAAGGCGGGUCUCUGGACCGAUACUGACGCCGAGGAGCGAAAGCGUGGGGAGCGAACAGG
rnacentral:rRNA from 1 species